GACGAACGCUGGCGGCGUGCUUAACACAUGCAAGUCGAACGGAAAGGCCCUGCUUUUGUGGGGUGCUCGAGUGGCGAACGGGUGAGUAACACGUGAGUAACCUGCCCUUGACUUUGGUAUAACUUCAGGAAACUGGGGCUAAUACCGUAUAGGAGCUCCUGCUGCAUGGUGGGGGUUGGAAAGUUUCGGCGGUUGGGGAUGGACUCGCGGCUUAUCAGCUUGUUGGUGGGGUAGUGGCUUACCAAGGCUUUGACGGGUAGCCGGCCUGAGAGGGUGACCGGCCACAUUGGGACUGAGAUACGGCCCAGACUCCUACGGGAGGCAGCAGUGGGGAAUAUUGCACAAUGGGCGGGAGCCUGAUGCAGCGGCGCCGCGUGCGGGAUGACGGCCUUUGGGUUGUAAACCGCUUUCGCCUGUGACGAAGCGUGAGUGACGGUAAUGGGUAAAGAAGCACCGGCUAACUACGUG
rnacentral:rRNA from 1 species